ensembl:lncRNA
GGGAAAGCUUCUGUGGGUAAGAACAUUAUUUGGUGAGCUGUUGUAAGAGCGAUGGCAAUCUCUCUUGUUGUAAUAAGAGAUGGAAAAAAGCAGGGGAGUUACCUGGUAGGAAAAAAGAGCUGAGAGCUUGAGACAGUCUCAGAAAAGGCGUGCCUUUGCUUAGGAUUGCUCUGUGUCUGAGUUUUCCUUGCUAUUUGUGCAUGAAGCCCUCAGAUGGGAAACCCAGCCUCCCCCUCCAAGUGAGGACAUUGCCCUAGCAGCCCCUGGGGCUUGGCCUGAAAAGAAGGAAAAAAAAAAAAACCCAACAAACAACCAAAGCAGUGCAAUGCAAAGCAACAGAGAAAGAAGCAUAAAAGAAAGAAAAGAUGUUAAAUAGCAAAAGGAAAAGCAAAGGAAAACCACACGACAUGGAAAGAACAAAGACAAAGACAACUCUCGGGAUGGAAUCAAAGAAUGCCCUCAGGCAUCUGUCCCCUCCCCUGAACCUUCCUCCGUCCCAAGAGUUUCUGCCCGGUGGGACCACGUGCAGGACAGCAGGCUUUGGCUUGAUGGGCUGCAAGGCCAAAAAAGGGCGGCUCUAGGCCCCCCAGAGGAUGUCACAGCUGACAUCACCCACGCUCCUGGAACCUUUGUGCUGUUACAAUCAGUUCCCAUGACGAUGACGGGCCGUCCACAAGGACAGCUGGCAGAUGUUUACAGGCACCUCAGCUGGGAGAUGCACUGCCCGCAGCCGCUCGCCGUGCCCUGGGGCUGAGAGCAGCCCUGGCAGAAGACAAGCUCGGCCUCAUCCCCUGCUGGAUUACGGUUAAGUGCUACUAUUUAGUCUUACUACUAACUGCGGACCGUUACCCUUUGGCAUCAGAUUGGCGGGUUACUGCAUUAGAUAAGGCUUCACGUGGAAAUGCUACCAAGUUCAGUCAGUGCAAAGGCUUCAGGAAAACCCCUAAGGAUUGGCUUAAAGGUUACUGUUAGAGGCUAGCGUUUAGGAUGAAGAGUUACCAUAGUAGGUUAGGAUGAAGGGCUUCCCUUCAGUGACAGGUGAACGGUUACCACAUCGGAUUAGAGUUAACCAUAACCAAAAUGGGAAUCCUCCAGGGCUACCCUUUGCUGUUAGGACUAAGGGUGGCCCUUACUUGAUGAGGGCUAACGCCAUCCCUGUUGCAUUUACAGAAAAGGCUUCAGGGCUACCCAUUAGGAGGGUUAAACAUUACCUGUGUGUAUGGCAAACAGACUGUAAGGCAAACAGGUAAAGGACCAGAGAGAUGAGCGCGUUUCCAAAGGAGGAAUGACAUAAAAAGCUUACCCGUACCCUGGGCGCGCAGAAGGGCUCCACUAAGGGUGACCUCCAGGUAGAGAUCCUUCCUCCUUGGGAGUCAGCCCUUACAUGGGGUCUAGCAGGGCUGCAGCCAGGGUCCACCCCUUCCGGUCACUCAGGUGAAACUGCCAUCACCUGUGCCCCUGCAGCUGACUCAGCACUCGCCUCAGGUGGUCAAACAGAGGGUCAGGCUGUGAUUAUACAGUUCCCAUACACCUGUGUGAUUUAGAGUUCAGACUUGUGGUUUAUACAUUUGGAUUAGUGUUAGGAGCUAC